rnacentral:lncRNA from 1 species
AACAGCACUACAACAUGUCUGACACAUGAUUAUUACCUUACAAUUUCUGUAAUAGUGAGUGAUAUCAAAGUCAGUGUAUUUGCGCUGUGUUUCUUUAGUUUGUUAAGUAGCGUUUCCGUUACCUCUACCCUAUUUACUGGUCGAUCCACCCCCCAGCCCUCAUCCCCUUCAACCCAGUUUAGUGUGUUUGAGACUCUUUGAUUGUUUCGUUAUCAACAUGACAGUCCUUCGGCUCACAUUACCAUACCCAGUUUUCUUCAUGUUUCUUCUGCUGUGUUCAGAUUUUUCAAAGUCACAGAAGGAAAACUAUUUUCAGUGGAUUAAUGAAACUGCUGAUCAGGGUGAAACUGUUGUUUUACACUGUAAUGGAAGUGAGGAUAGUGAAGGAGAUUUUGUUUGGAAAAAGGAUGGGAAUCUUCUUUUUAACUACAGCCCCUUUCUUAACCAAACUGUAACAAACUACACAUCAAGCAGGAUGAGUGUAGAUUCCAGUGAUCCAUGGAAACUACAGAUAUCUAACGUUCAGCCUUCAGAUUCAGGAACCUAUCUAUGCUUCCCAUCAAAAAUUAUAUGGAUUUUGACUAUAAAAGGAUACCGAGCUUUUUUCUUGUGA